rnacentral:rRNA from 1 species
UACGUAGGGGGCAAGCGUUGUCCGGAAUCAUUGGGCGUAAAGAGCGCGUAGGCGGCUAGGUAAGUCCGACGUGAAAUCUGGAGGCUCAACCUCCAGCGGUCGUUGGAAACUACUUGGCUAGAGUCCGGAAGAGGAGAGUGGAAUUCCUGGUGUAGCGGUGAAAUGCGCAGAUAUCAGGAAGAACACCGAUGGCGAAAGCAGCUCUCUGGGACGGUACUGACGCUGAGGCGCGAAAGCGUGGGGAGCGAACAGG